GACGAACGCUGGCGGCGUGCUUAACACAUGCAAGUCGAACGAAGUGGCGAACGGGUGAGUAACGCGUAAUCAACCUGCCCUUCAGAGGGGGACCACAGUUGGAAACGACUGCUAAUACCGCAUACGGAAGGAGGGGCUUGCGUUGGAUUGGAUAGGUGGAGGGGUAACGGCCCACCAAGGUGAUGAUAAGUCGACGGUCUGAGAGGAGGAACGGCCACAUUUGGACUGAGACACGGCCCAGACUCCUACGGGAGGCAGCAGGUGGGAAUCUUCGGCAAUGGACGAAAGGCUGACGGAGCAACGCCGGGUGAGUGAUGACGGCCUUCGGGUUGUAAAGCUCUGUUAAGCGGGACGCGGUACCGGAAUAGAAAGCCACGGCUAACUACGUGCCAGCAGCCGCGGUAAUAC
rnacentral:rRNA from 1 species